ACUGAGUAAAGCCAAGACAGAGGAAUGGAGCCACAGUCUCCUACUGAGUCCACAUCAUCACCAGUGCAAACACAUGUAGCAAAGGAUUUCAGUUUUAUUUACUAUUUCAGUCUGUGGAGUAACCAACUGGGGAGACGUUUGAAGGAAGGGCUGCUGUGAUUCUGAUCUUAGAUGCCUUCUUGAAGUCAAUCACAAAAGCAGCAGUCAACUCGGCUGAACCAUGACCUUAGACUUUCAGUCUCCAGAACAUUGAAACAUAAAUUUCUAUUGCUUAAUAUAUGUAACAAGCAAUAAUUUUUUGUAGCAUGUUCAUAUCUCUAUCUAUGGCUAAUUAUCUAUCUUAUACCUUAUAAUAUGUUUAGCAUUAAUGAUCCAAGGACAGUGACUAGAUCACACAUUUAUGUAGUUCUUCCUUCAUAUUUCAUCACUUCACAGGUUUAAGUGAAAGAAGCCCAUCAUGUAAAUUUGUCUUCCCAUUUGAACCCAGAUCCAAAGGGGUUCAAAGACUUGGCCAGAAGAGAGGAGCAGGUGUGAAUCCCAAAGCCCACCUCCAGCCACAAGGGUCCAGUGCUUCCAGUUCCAACUGGGCAAUGUGGGGAAUGAAUGUUUCACCAUUAUUGUUGUUAAUCACCAUUUCUCAUUUUCAUAACAUUGUAUGAUGGAACAUAACUAUGGAAACUGAAAAAUUAAAACUAUAUCCUAAUAGAACAGGAAAAAAAUAAUACAACAUCAUAUACAAAAAAUAAUAUAGAAAUCCAAGCUUCUCAAGAUAUGACAAUGCAAAUGUAUUGAGCAAAUGUUAUUUUUUAACUUCUUAUAUAAAAAUGCUGUAUUAUUUCCAUGUGUGUAAAAGGGGAAAAUGUAAACCUAUUUAUGCACCUUUUUUUUUUUUUGAAAGGAAAACCUAUCUCAGGUGGCCCAAGGACAUGCCUGUGUUCCUCCAUCUAUCAAAUCAGGCUGUGCAGGAGAUUCACUGCUCUGUGGUAGGGAUACAAUGUGCAAAUGAUGGGGGCUGGAACCAUCAAUAAACUUGUCCCCAUGAAAAUGAUGACAGAAUCUCUUGCUAUUAUUAAGAGCUAUUUAAAAAGCUAACUCAAAAGGAUGCCAGCUGGUGACCUUGUUGCUAGACUCAGUAAAGAAGAAAAUAAUUAAAUUAGCAUGACUCUUCAAAUUCAUUCUCACUUGGUAGAGGUCUGGAAUUGAUCAUCAUGGCGGCAUGUGAAAACUUGCUUCGUAGUGUUUGGCGACAGUACUAUUUAAUAGAUGAACAGCAUACAAAGGCUGAUAAUGUCAAUAUUCAUUUUUAUUAAGUUUACUCAGUCAAAACAGACCUAGAAGUUCGAUCACAGAGUCUCAGGUUCCUUCUAUUUAAAAGAUGAAGGAUAAUUAAACUUCACCAAACUCUUCAUUGAAGAGAGGCGUCUUAAUGCAGUCAAGGUGUGCAUCUGUCCUCACCUUAACCUCAUUCCAGCUGUUUUUCUCACCUGUACUGUGUUUAAAAACAAAAUGUGACUGGCUGUAGAACAGGGUGAAAACAAAGUAUUAGGGUAUCACACACUAUUGUCAGAUCUUUUAUAGUUUAUUAAAUUCUUCCUGUCCUUUUUUUCCUCAUAAAAAUAAACCAAUAAAUU
rnacentral:lncRNA from 1 species